UCCCUGGUGGUCCAGUGGUUAGGACUCUGCACUUUCACUGGGAAGGACCCAGGGUUUGAUCCCUGGUCAGGGAA
rfam:Ovis aries breed Texel chromosome 11, whole genome shotgun sequence.